GACGAACGCUGGCGGCGUGCUUAACACAUGCAAGUCGAACGGAAAGGCCCUGCUUUUGUGGGGUGCUCGAGUGGCGAACGGGUGAGUAACACGUGAGUAACCUGCCCUUGACUUUGGGAUAACUUCAGGAAACUGGGGCUAAUACCGGAUAGGAGCUCCUGCUGCAUGGUGGGGGUUGGAAAGUUUCGGCGGUUGGGGAUGGACUCGCGGCUUAUCAGCUUGUUGGUGGGGUAGUGGCUUACCAAGGCUUUGACGGGUAGCCGGCCUGAGAGGGUGACCGGCCACAUUGGGACUGAGAUACGGCCCAGACUCCUACGGGGGGCAGCAGUGGGGAAUAUUGCACAAUGGGCGGAAGCCUGAUGCAGCAACGCCGCGUGCGGGAUGACGGCCUUCGGGUUGGAAACCGCUUUCGCCUGUGACGAAGCGUGAGUGACGGUAAUGGGUAAAGAAGCACCGGCUAACUACGUG
rnacentral:rRNA from 1 species